GAUGAACGCUGGCGGCGUGCCUAAUACAUGCAAGUCGAGCGAACAGACGAGGAGCUUGCUCCUCUGACGUUAGCGGCGGACGGGUGAGUAACACGUGGAUAACCUACCUAUAAGACUGGGAUAACUUCGGGAAACCGGAGCUAAUACCGGAUAAUAUAUUGAACCGCAUGGUUCAAUAGUGAAAGACGGUUUUGCUGUCACUUAUAGAUGGAUCCGCGCCGCAUUAGCUAGUUGGUAAGGUAACGGCUUACCAAGGCAACGAUGCGUAGCCGACCUGAGAGGGUGAUCGGCCACACGGGAACUGAGACACGGUCCAGGCUCCUACGGGAGGCAGCAGUAGGGAAUCUGCCGCAAUGGGCGAAAGCCUGACGGAGCAACGCCGCGUGAGUGAUGAAGGUCUUCGGAGCGUAAAACUCUGUUAUUAGGGAAGAACAAAUGUGUAAGUAACUAUGCACGUCUUGACGGUACCUAAUCAGAAAGCCACGGCUAACUACGUG
rnacentral:rRNA from 1 species